rnacentral:rRNA from 1 species
UUAGCCUACGGGGGGCAGCAGUCGGGAAUAUUGCGCAAUGGAGGAAACUCUGACGCAGUGACGCCGCGUGCAGGAAGAAGGUUUUCGGAUUGUAAACUGCUUUAGACAGGGAAGAAAAAAGACAGUACCUGUAGAAUAAGCUCCGGCUAACUACGUGCCAGCAGCCGCGGUAAUACGUAGGGGGCAAGCGUUAAUCGGAAUUACUGGGCGUAAAGCGCGCGUAGGCUGUUGUGUAAGUUGGGGGUGAAAUCCCACGGCUCAACCGUGGAACAGCCCUUGAUACUGCGCGACUUGAAUCCGGGAGG